rnacentral:rRNA from 1 species
GUAGCAUAAUCAUUAGAGAUUUAAUUGGGAUCUGGAAUGAAGGGUUGGACGAAGGAAAAACUGUCUGUAUAAUGUAAUUUGAAAUUUACUUUUAAGUGAAAAGGCUUAAAUGCAUCAAAGGGACGAUAAGACCCUAUAAAGCUUUAUAAAUAAAUUUAUAUUCAAUUAAAUUAACUAAUAAAAAUUAAGUCUAAAUUAUAUUAUUUCAUUGGGGUGAUGUGAGCAAAAAUAUUACUAACUGCUUAAUAAAAAUACUAAAGUAGGAGUAUUUAUGAUAAUGGUCCUUCUUAGAGAUUAAAAGAUUAAGUUACUUUAGGGAUAACAGCGUUAUUUCUUUUGAGAGUUCUUAUCGAAAAAGAAGAUUGCGACCUCGAUGUUGAAUUAAAAUAUCUAUAUAAUGCAGCUGUUAUAAAAGAAGGUCUGUUCGACCUUUAAAUUUUU